GAAAGUUGCUGUGAUUUUGCUCCUCCCUGGGGAAAAGUCAGACCAAUUUCUUGGAUUGUCUUUGCUCAAGCAGCCAGUUUCAGCCCAGAUGAGAGAGAUUGCUGAAGGGCAAUGAACUGUCUUCAUCUCUGAAAUGUCUCACUCAAUUAAUCUGUCAGCCAUGGGACUACAUCAAUAUUUUUCUUUGCUUGGAGAACCAAUAUGCAUAAGAUCAAUCUUCCAGAAAACUAUUUUGCAUUGCUAGAACCUUAUAUCUUUAUUUUUGUUUAUUUUUAUUCUGUUAUAUGAUUUUUUAAAUGUAUAAAUGUAUUGAGUAGUUUCCAAAUAUAUAUUUUAUUAAUUUUAUUAAUAAGAUCCUUGUACUUUCCUUUAAGUAUUGCAGCAUUCUUCUCAAACAAAGCCUCCUAGUUAAUUUUUAUUUCUUUGCCUCUUAUCCUUUUUUACUCAAUGUGUUUGAUGAAUAUUUGUGUGUAAACCCUUUUUAUCUAAUCCAACACAUUUGCAUUUGACUUUGAAAAGUAAAACUUCUGUGUUUUCAUAGAUAAGGUUUUAUUACUCUAUUCAAAGCAUUUGGAUUAAAGACUACUGCUUAUUGUCCUCUGUUAGUCAAAAUGCAGUUGCAGUGUCUGCCUGUUAAAGGAUAUGAACUGAAUGUGGCCCAGCAUAUUUAGCCUAUGUGGCAGGAGCACAGCAAGAAAGAA